GCCUAGUGGGAUUAUUCACAAAAUGAUCUGGUGAUCAGGUUAUGAAAUGUCAUGACAAAGACAUUUUAGUUUCCAUGUUUCACCUGAGAUAUUUAAUAUAUAGUCCUAGGUCUAUGUUAUUGUUGUUAGGUGAAGUUAUGGGUCCGACAGUAGGUCUAUGUUAUUGUUAGGUGAAGUUAUGGGUCCUACAGUAGGUCUAUGUUGUUGUUAGGUGAAGUUAUGGGUCCUACAGUAGGUCUAUGUUGUUGUUAGGUGAUGUUAUGGGUCCUACAGUAGGUCUAUGUUGUUGUUAUGGGUCCUACAGUAGGUC
rnacentral:lncRNA from 1 species